AGUAAUGCUUGGGAACUUGCCUUUGCGAGGGGGAUAACAGUUGGAAACGACUGCUAAUACCGCAUAAUGUCUACGGACCAAACGGGGCUUAGGCUCCGGCGCAAAGAGAGGCCCAAGUGAGAUUAGCUAGAUGGUGAGGUAAAGGCUCACCAUGGCGACGAUCUCUAGCUGUUCUGAGAGGAAGAUCAGCCACACUGGGACUGAGACACGGCCCAGACUCCUACGGGAGGCAGCAGUGGGGAAUAUUGCACAAUGGGGGAAACCCUGAUGCAGCCAUGCCGCGUGUGUGAAGAAGGCCUUCGGGUUGUAAAGCACUUUCAGUUGUGAGGAAAAGUUGGUAGUUAAUACCUGCCAGCCGUGACGUUAACAACAG
rnacentral:rRNA from 1 species